rnacentral:rRNA from 1 species
GAUGAACGCUGGCGGCGUGCCUAAUACAUGCAAGUCGAGCGAACGGACGAGAAGCUUGCUUCUCUGAUGUUAGCGGCGGACGGGUGAGUAACACGUGGAUAACCUACCUAUAAGACUGGGAUAACUUCGGGAAACCGGAGCUAAUACCGGAUAAUAUUUUGAACCGCAUGGUUCAAAAGUGAAAGACGGUCUUGCUGUCACUUAUAGAUGGAUCCGCGCUGCAUUAGCUAGUUGGUAAGGUAACGGCUUACCAAGGCAACGAUGCAUAGCCGGCCUGAGAGGGUGAUCGGCCACACUGUAACUGAGACACGGUCCAGACUCCUACGGGAGGCAGCAGUAGGGAAUCUUCCGCAAUGGGCGAAAGCCUGACGGAGCAACGCCGCGUGAGUGAUGAAGGUCUUCGGAUCGUAAAACUCUGUUAUUAGGGAAGAACAUAUGUGUAAGUAACUGUGCACAUCUUGACGGUACCUAAUCAGAAAGCCACGGCUAACUACGUG